rnacentral:lncRNA from 10 species
AUGAUGUGCGUACAUCUGGUUCUUAGCUUCUACUUGUUGAAGAGUCUUCAUGGUGCGUGUAACCCCUUUCACCUAUCUACUCAGCCAAUGGACACCAAGACUGCCUCCAAGUCUCUGCCACGAUGACCAUUCUCAUACAGCUUCCCUCAUGGACUCACACACCUGCAGUGGAAUUGGAACUGGAUGUUUCUGUCUGGUGGAGAACGUAUUCCACAACUGGAGCCAGACCCACCCUGCCACAGAGGAAGCCACGUGACCCAGGAGUGGUUUAGAAAUGGGCACAUGACCCAAGCAGAGGCUUCCCAGGACCUUUCUGUUGGAACUAUUUGAAACUACUUUCAUUCCACUGGAAUUCUAUGCUGGCAACCACCUUCUCACCUUUUGGAGAGCACCUGUCCAGCAGGUGCAGAGAGAGGCACGUGUAUGAUGACAUUGUCUGAAACCUUACAUCAGCCUUGCCCGAGGUCAAAUGCAUUUCAGUGAAUAAACUCAUGGAUUUCUUUCUUGAUUUAAGCUAAUUUGAGUUGAAUUUCUGUCACUCAAGACUGAAAGUGUCCUGACCCUUAUGUGUAGGAGUUAGGAGUGAGAAAUCAUUUAACAGAAUUCUUGAGAGCAUGCUCUGUUUACAUCUUCACUCAUUUCAAGCCCAGGCUACUUAUGAUGCAUGCCUGGCCCUUAGGCACUCUCAGCAUAGUUGUUUAUGAAGGAUUUUGGACAAUAAUUGACUUUUUGGGUGUCUAAGGUUUGAGUUUCUUUUAUCAACUAGUGCUGGAGGAGCCAAAUAGUCAAGACUGGGGAAAGGAGAGGAGGAAGAAGACCAUGAAGUAGGGAACCUACUGAUCCUAGGAGCCAUCCAGGAACUGCAACUAUUGUGUGCCUAAAUACAGGAAGGGCCAGCGACUGAGGAUGUGCCUUCUGGAUGCCUGCCACGUUUCCUGCUCAUUCACCCAAGCCUGCCGAGAUAUCAGUUUACCCAGAGAGUCAACGUACUUUUUCCACAGUGAGACCAAUUGAGAACACAAGUAUCCCAAUUUCCAGGUCUCACCUACCAAAUCAUAAUAAAUAUCUAUAUAUUUGGAGAUAGAGAUGAAAACCAUGUGGCUGUAUCCAGUUGGAGUGAAAAAUAUGAACUAUGAAGAAAGAAGGAGUUCUGCUUCUUCCAAAGGAGUGACUCCCAAAGGAACAAGAAUUGACCAUAGGUUAUGGCUUGUGUUACAAUACACCGAUGUUGUCUUUGAGGCCAUCCACUGACGUCCUCACCCAUGGCAUAAGCAAGUUUUUCUGAAGGAAGAAGCAGCAGAAUAAAUUGGAUACUUAAUGAUUGUCUACCCCUUCAAGCUAAUGUGCAUAAGAUUAACACUACUCCAUUUCCCACUACUUUGCAUCUGGGGACACUUCUUACAAGGAUUCAUAUGCCAUGAGGACUGGCAUUAUGUUGAGGUGGAAUAAAGAGCUGGUUACAUCCUAUAAUUUCAGAAGCACUGCAAGCUUUAUUUGCCACAAAUGCCUAUCCUCUAGCAGACUUCUUAGAGUUGGAAUAGAGCUUUUUAAGAGAAUUUCCUUUGGGUUACAACACUAUAUCCAGAAAAUUUUUGUUAAAGUGCAGUUGUCUUACCUGAGUAGGAUAACAUAUACCCUGUCAUUCACACAUCAGCAUGGGUUAGUCCAGUAAAGACCAUGCAGGACUAGAAUAUGGGAAUGGUGAAUUUUAAGAAAGAAGAACUAUAAAAUCUGGAGCUGUCUAGAGAAGCAGUAAUAGGCUUAAGCAGACAGGAGUUUCCUAAAUGGGCCCAGGGUGGACUUGGUCUACUUCCACAAUUUGCCUUGGGAGCUCCUCUGUAAGAAGGAGCAGAGAUUGAG